GAGCCCGUCGCGAACUCGCUUAGAACGCAACGAAAAGUCAAUAAAAGCAGGUGCUAACGCCAAACCGCCACCGCUCAUAACGGUCUGGUUGCAGGUUCGAGUCCUGCCGGGCCCACCA
rnacentral:tRNA from 1 species